GCAGCUCUAUAGGACAGGGGCCAAGACAGGGAGCUCUUUCACACUACGCGCGCGCACACACACAAUGCAUCCCUAUACAUACACAGAAACACAACAUGCUUCCCUUACACACAGAGAAACACACAAUACAUCCAUUACACACACACACACACAAUGCAACCCUUACACACAAAGACAAUGCAUCCUUUGCACACAUACACAGAAACAGACAAUGCAAACCCGUACACACACAUGCAAACACACAC